GCGCCACUCCCGGCCACCCUCCUCCCCCGGGACGCCAGGGCGUGUGCGGGCCACGCGGGCGCCUUCGCCGGGGGCUUCCCCUCCUGUGGUCCGCUCGGGUUCUGCUUCUGAAUCCAUCCAGGGUCCGGGAUGACGAUCCGACACCAAGGCCAACAGUACAGGCCGAGGAUGGCAUUUCUGCAGAAGGUUUCCAAGCUGCCGGCUGGUCCCGAAGAAUCAGCAAUGUUUGGGCGAAAUGUCGGAGGGUGCAGAGCUUCCUAUGCGCUCAGGCACGACUGUUCCGAGCGGCUCCCUCUAACUCCGGUGAUCCACGGGGUCACCUGCACGUGAAUGCCCCCCGUGUUGCUCUCCUUCCUUCCCCUGGCUCACUUCCCAGCUACCCACUGCCGCUUCCCAGGAUCAGCCCUGUCACCAACACUAUGAGGUCCCAUUACUAUCCCCAAUUUUACAGAUUGAAGAAUCAGCGAAAGACACAGAGAGCCAGAGAUGGGGCCCAAAACGUAAAGCCAGAGGAUCCCGUGAUUACAGAAUCAGGAGCCCUUGCAACACACAGGUGGCAUCGUCUAUGGCACAGGCCAGGGCCAGGGUAGACUACAGUUUUCUACAAAUUAAUUCAAACUGGAGGGACAGAACGCAGGGGGAGGGAGGAAGGAAAGGUGAAUUCAGUGUCACUUUUGAAAUCACUUUCCCUGAAGUUAUCAUUUUAUGAAUCUAGCAAGAGACAUGCAUACCUUGGAGAUACUGUGGGGUUGGUUCCUGACCACUGUAAUAAAGCAAAGAUUGCAAUAAAGCGAAUCA
rnacentral:lncRNA from 1 species